rnacentral:lncRNA from 1 species
GAGGCUCGACGCAUUUAUUUCAGGUAACGACAAUAUCAAUUCAAAAAAUUUUGAGAUAAAAUAUGAAGAUAAGAUCUCCUGGAUGAUAAAAAUUAGGUCAAAAGAUAAAUAUGAAGAUAAAAUCUCUUGACCGAUGAAAAUCAGACCAAAAAGCAGGUGAGGAGAUAAGAUCUCCUGGUCGAUAAAAAAUCAAAUCAAAAAGUCAGUAUAGAGAUAAGAUCUCUUGAUCGGUAAAAAUCAGAUCAAAAGACAAAUAUGGAGAUAAGAUCUUCUGGCCGAUGAAA